rnacentral:lncRNA from 1 species
CUUAUUGAGUGUUUUGAGUUUUUUUUGAGGUUUUGGGGUUGGGUUGUUUUAAGAAAUCAAUGGCAGUUUUGUAAUUUAAAAGAAGUUAAAAGUCUUUUUGUUAUGUUGUAAAUGAAUUUUAGGUGUGUUUCUAAAGUCUAUUUCUGAGGUUUUUUUAAUAAAUUGGGCUCCUAUAUUUAGUAUAAUAGUAAAUCUCUCCUUCUUUUUUUUUUUUGCCAACCUUAGAGCAUUUCAACUCGAAGGCACCGACCAGAGCAAGAGGCCCACCAAGCCCCCAAAUGUAUUUCCGAGGCCCAAGUCUUGCCAAAGCAAGAGCUGAGCUCCACCAACCUGGGCAAGCUAACCCAAUGUGAUGUCAGCAGUCAAUUUAAAUAACAAAAAAUUUGAAAAACGAAAGAAAAAAGACCAAGAAUUUUAGAAAUUUUUUAAAAAAAUAAAUACCUAGCCAUAUUCUUCACUUCCCACACCAAAAGUCUAUACAAAUUCUUCUGCUCAUAUCUCAUGUGAAUAGUGGUUGCCAUAGCAAUGGAUGGAAAACCAAUAAAAAAAUUGCUGUGGCAGACACUAUUUAUGUUAAUAGUAACAACUCUU